rnacentral:rRNA from 1 species
UUUUUCGCAAUGGGGGAAACCCUGACGAAGCAACGCCGCGUGGAUGAUGAAGUCCCUUGGGACGUAAAAUCCUUUCGACGGGGAAGAAAACCGCAAGGUUUGACGGUACCCGUAGAAGAAGCCCCGGCUAACUCCGUGCCAGCAGCCGCGGUAAUACGGGGGGGGCAAGCGUUGUUCGGAAUUACUGGGCGUAAAGGGCGCGUAGGCGGUCUGCUAAGUUGGGUGUGAAAACUCUGGGCUUAACCCAGAGCCUGCACUCAAUACUGACAGGCUAGAGUUCUGGAGGGGAUAGCGGAAUUCCUGGUGUAGCGGUGAAAUGCGUAGAUAUCAGGAGGAACACCGGUGGCGAAGGCGGCUAUCUGGACAGAGUCUGACGCUGAGGCGCGAAG